rnacentral:tRNA from 1 species
GGGUCUGUAGCUCAGUGGUAGAGCGCGACUCUUAUAAAGUCGAUGUCGAUGGUUCGAUCCCAUCCAGACCCA